rnacentral:tRNA from 1 species
GGUAAUAUGGCCGAGCAAGGCGGUGGGCUGUAAAUCCACACACAGGAAUAGAAUCCUUAUUGCCAUAG